rnacentral:misc_RNA from 1 species
AAAAUCUAAACAAAGCGUUACUUCCUGUUAAAAAACGCACGUUGGCAGUUCAGGUUGUGCACAGCUAUUUCAUGCGACAGCUUUUGUUGAAGAUGGCCUCGCCCUUGUCUCCCCGGCUAUUCAGCUUAAUGAAAGCUCGGCGACCAAGCUGACACCAUCCUCAUACAGCUGCGGAAUCAGAUCAACCUCCUCAAGGCAGCUGCAGUGUCCCAGUCAUGCAAAGGAGAGGAAGAUAUCCUGAGAGAACAAAAUGAGAAGUUGAAAAAUGAAAUAAAUCAGAUCAAGACCCAGCUUGUCAUGGCAGAAAUAAGAAAUGGAGUGAGACAAGUUGCCCUCCCCCCAAAGAGAGCAAUGUCAACAAGUGCAGGGGAGGGUAAUAGUGCCCCACCCCCAUCAGCAACCCCUGCUGCUGAACCAGCAUCUGCCCCUGCCCCUGGCCCAGCAAAGGUGAAGAAGGGUGAGAAACUAGAGAAGAAGAAACCAGAAAAGAAAGAAGGUGAGGCUAAGGGGAAGAAGGGGAAGGGAGCAGCUGAAACAGAGCCUGAGAAGAUGGACGUCUCAAGACUGGACCUGAGAGUUGGCAAGAUCCUGUCUGCUGAGAAGCACCCUGACGCAGACUCUCUUUACGUGGAGGAUGUGGAUGUGGGCGAGGAAAAGACCCGGACUGUGGUGUCUGGCCUUGUCAAGCAUAUUCCCCUAGAACAGAUGCAGAAUCGUAUCGCUGUGUUCAUGUGCAAUCUGAAGCCGGCCAAGAUGCGGGGGGUCCUGUCGCAAGGGAUGAUCAUGUGUGCCAGUUCUGCAGACAAGGUGGAGAUCCUGGAGCCACCCCCCGGAGUGCAGCCAGGGGACAGGGUCACCUUUGAAGGCUAUCCUGGUGACCCAGAUGCCCAGCUGAACCCCAAAAAGAAAAUUUGGGAGACGCUGAAACCAGACAUCCGCACUGACAACAACAAAGUAGCCAACUAUAAGGGUGCACCUUUUAAAAUCGAGGGCAAGGGAAUCGUCAAGGCUCCAACGCUAGCUGAUGCCCAGAUAUCUUAAAUGGAUAUUUUCAAACAGAUAAGCUGAACAUUAAAUGGUUUCAUUUGUACAGAUUGACAAGACUGGGAACAUUUGCCACCAA